AAGAAAACCCUAAGCUCCUACAUCCAACUUCAAGAACCUCCAAAGUUCACCAUUAAUUUUUCAAAUUUAUUCAAGAUUCCAAGUUCCUAGUUCAAGAACUCCAAGAACCAUCAUUCAAAGGCACGAUUAACAUCUCAAAAAUGAGCAUCGAUCUAAAGUUCAUCAUUCAAGGUAUGUGGGGUUUUUCAACAAGAACUCUCUUUCGUUCUUGUGCCCAAAAGUAAUUUUCUUUACAAAGGCAUGAUUUUUAUUUGAUUUUUACAAAUUUGAAGCAUGAACCCAUAUCUUAUGAUGAUUAUUAUGAAAUCUUGAUGUUUAUGAUUUUGAAAGAUGAAUUUACAUGUGUGGAGAUAUAAAGCAUGAAUCUUGAACGAUAUUUAUCAUGAUUUUGAUAGUUGGGUCGUGAAUCCCCU
rnacentral:lncRNA from 1 species